rnacentral:rRNA from 1 species
UACAGAGGUCCCGAGCGUUGUUCGGAUUCAUUGGGCGUAAAGGGUGCGUAGGCGGGUCUUUAAGUCAGGGGUGAAAUCCUGGAGCUCAACUCCAGAACUGCCUUUGAUACUGAGGAUCUUGAGUUCGGGAGAGGUGAGUGGAACUGCGAGUGUAGAGGUGAAAUUCGUAGAUAUUCGCAAGAACACCAGUGGCGAAGGCGGCUCACUGGCCCGAUACUGACGCUGAGGCACGAAAGCGUGGGGAGCAAACAGG